GCAGGCAGGGACUCGUCGUUGACAAAGUUGGUGUUUGGGAAGAUGGAAUCUGUCGUCAGCUUCACAAAGUUCAAGCGUGAGAUCCUAGUGGUGGUGGCUCUCCUCUGCCGCUUUGUGUUGCCGGAUUCAACCAGAUUUAGUAAAGGUAUGGAACAGCAGCCGGUGGCACAUGCCUCAGAGGGCUCCUCUAUCUUAUUUUCACCUCCUUGUUCAUGCUUGUUGCUUUCUUUGUCUCCUCCAGUAGCCUUCAUCAGCCUUCUGAAGUACUUGUGGAUGAAGAAGAGCAUGGCGUUUCAUGGGAAGAGAGGUGCUGUCAGGGAACUAGUCGGCUUAGAUA
rnacentral:lncRNA from 1 species